AGGUCUCCAAUAACAAGGGCGGAUAGCGGGCGAUGUUUGAACGCAUUAGCUGUGCAGUAAUGCAUAAUGUAUGACAUGGUGUUUGCGUGCAGGAUGGUCUUCACCUGGCCUGUGGGCCAGAGAUUAUAGGCAGAGAGAUGGGGCAAAGAGAUGACAUUAUACCGAGGGAGAAUUUCAGUCCAUUCAUCUCUGCACCACGACUGCUGAUGGGACUCUGGCAAAAGAACCUGCUUGCGGCAAUGCGAUGAAAGAAAGUCACUUGGUUUGGAAUGACAUGAGGGUGAGUAAAUAAUGAUAGAAUUUUCAUUUUUCUUUCUUUAAACUAGAAAUAGAUUUAAGUCAUGCUCUUAGGUAUAUUCAUAUAGGUUUACUGGUGUUCUGACAGUCCUAUUUGUCUAGAAAUGUGUUUUUAAAAAUGUGUCAGAAAUUGAAAUGUAAUACAUAGAUCAACCUGAGUAUGUUGUCACAUUAUGGUGAAGCAACUUCCUUUGACCUGGUGCUGGAUACCAGCAACAAUGGAAAGUUGGAGACUGAGAAUCAAAGUCAGCCAGUGGUCAGGCUGUGAUCAUUUACAUCCACCCCUGUUCGGCUCAUUGACUCUGAUCCGACAGAGAGUUGUUAAAAAAAAGACCUCCUCCUCAUGCCCUCAUUGGGAGGAUUCCAUUUAAAAGUGAGCAUCACUGUGCCCUACACAUUCUAAAGGGCAAAGCAUUUGAAGAAAGCACUAUUAAGGGUGCAAAUUUGCAACAGCUUACUUGAAAACGUAUACCACUGCCACUUUAUUUUACACAAGAAUGUCAUCAUCAUAUAAUGCGUGUUAUUGGGAAUAUAAGGAUUCAAAUUAGAUUUUUUGCUGGUUUGUUGUGAACAAUUUUGUGACAAAAACUUACUUUAAUUCAGAUUUCUUACAAAAUAUUUGUCUCGUUGUACAAUUUGCAUGACAGUUUUUAAAUUCCCAUGUAAGUUUUCAAAUGAAAGACCAUAGGAUUUAACAUGCAUUGCUUAGACAACCUACCUGCCUUUUGGGACAGGGCCAGAUUCAUAGUCAUCAAAAAUACUGUCCUUCAUAUACACUUCAUAAAGUACAGUCAUAAAUACAAAAUUUUGCCAGAAUUCUGUCCCUAAACGUGACAUUACUGCCAUCUGCAUGAUUAUUUGUGUUCUCCACUCAAGAGGACUUAACUUUUGCCUUUGCCGGAGGCACUAUCGACAAAAUAAAUCCAUUUACCGUCACAAGACACCAUGCUGAAAUGGUCUCAUCUUUCUCAUAACUUCCCACUGGUCUCUAGCCAAACAAGCAAAGGCAACUCAUGACCUUAUUAUUGAGGAGAAAAUGGCUGUUUUCUGUUUGUUUUUGAACCAUAUGGCUCCAUUAGUGGCGUAAUGACCCUGAGGCCCCUUGAGCGUUCCACGCUGCCCCCAGUGGCCACUCAUCCACUCGCAUUGUUGAUGGUUUUUUGCAUGCUCCAAUUAGCACCCACAAAAUGCUCAUUUGCUGUCCAUGAUGUUGUGUGUCUCUGUUUGUGCACCUAUUGAUUUGCCUACACCACUGCCUUUGCACAUGUAUCAUGCAAGUGUGCAUGUCAACAGGUUAUGUGUUUUUUUAUUUUUGACUAUUCAAUUCAUGAUUCAAAGUAAUUUCUCAGUUCUCUUUUGUUUAAAUAUAUUGCAGGUUACAUGUGCACACAAUAUGGUAUUUGUUUCCCCCAAAGUAAAUUAAUGGGUCACUAGGUAACCUGAUAUAUAUCAUUAUAUAUACAAUUCCUUCUUAAUAGCACUUAAGUUGAGUCUCAAGUGUUUAUUCAUGAAUUUUCAUGAGAUUUCAGCUUGACUUUUCAUUUCUGUGUGAUGGGCUUUUUUUGGAGAGAUAUUUCAGAAUGUUGCGCAGCCUCCUCAAUUCCCUCAAGGGAUUAGAACACGGCCUUCAAACAUGAUUUGAUGUUAAUCAUUAAUUAGUGUGUUUAAUGACACUAAAUGCUUUAGUAAGAAGCUGUGUAGUGAUUCCCCUACAAGCCUGGCAUCAGCAAGGUCAGUCUACAUGGUGUUCAACGGGUGGAGAAUGAAAAACGAUGCUCUGGCGUCACAGCUAUAAAAGAAACAUAGAACUUCUGACAAAAUUUGCAUGCAGAAGAAUAGGAUUUGACAGUCAGUCAGCAUUACAUGGGUCUGAUGAAAAGAGAAUGACUCACCUGUUUGCUCAGUUUAGGGGUGUGCUGCGUCCUCUUUUGGAUUCUCAGGUGGGUGCUGCUGGUUAAUGAAUGGAAAGCCGAGAGCUCAAGAGUAGGGUCUUAAUGCCUAAUUUGAUCAUAGAUAUCACCGCAGACUCUUGGAAAGUCAAGUCAACUUCUCAUUAAACGGGUAAUUCAGCCAAAAAUGUAAAUCAUAUAAUCAUUUGCUCACCCUAUAGUCCCUCCUAAAUAAAUAUUUCAAGAAAUAAAUAAAUUAGAAACAUUUUUAUAAAUGCACCAUUUUUAUGAUGCAUUUAUUGUCUUUUUGUAGCUCGAAAGCUUCAGUUCUUAGCUAGGAUUGACCAGCAGAGAUUUUAAUAGAGCAUAGGAAUGAGUAAUUGAUGACAGAAAUUUUGUUUUUGUAUGAACAAUUCCUUUAACACAUUUCUGUUCCUGCUUUUCUCCGUGUCUUCCAUUGUUUGGAGAACUUCAACAGGACAAAGGAGUUUACUGUGGAAAGACAAAGAACAUUUCCCUGCAUAAUAGAUGAAAGAUUUACAUUUACUUUAGCAGUAUUUCAAUUAAUUAAACCCUUGAAAGGUAAAUUGUGAUUGACAUUAAUUUCCCAUUGGUUUUGGUAUGAGAACAAUGAAAAACUGUUAGCAAGGCAUAAAAACAACUUUAUACUUCAUGCGAGUUAUCUGUGAUUUAAAUGUAAUAAUCUGAUUCGCAUGUGAGACAGCUUAAUUAAAUCAGAUAUGAUUUGAAUAUCUUCUAAAGGAUGUCUUUUGUAAUGAAGGCAUAGGAAAAAUUGUCAAACGACAGUAAUUGCUGUAAAUUGAGGACUUUGUACAAGAAUAUAUUAUGGAAAUUGCAAAAGUGGUCAAAGACCAAUGAAAAUCACUUACAACAUAACUUUUUUUUUUUUAGUCUUUUCUGUCUCUACAGCUUGGUCAUAUGCUGCCUAAUAUCACAGGAUUUUGAAAUAUGAAAAUAUGACGAUUACAGGUGAAUGUGUUAGUAUUAUGUAAAAUUCCCUCUCAAGCCUCAUGCUCUCUUCAUAUUUAUCUUAACUAGCAGAUGCAUAUAUAUUUAACAUUUUAUAUGUCAUUAAUAAAAUACAUAUUUAUUAUUUAUGUUAAAAUUGUUAUUCAUGUGUUAGAUUUUGAUUUCAUUUACAUUAAUUUACUUAGCAGAUGCUAAAUGAAUAAAUGUAAUGGAAAUUAAAUCAUAUUUCACCAAACACAUUUCCAAGGCUCAGCAAAUAGUGCUUCAUAACUAUUCAUAACUAGAGAUCUGCAGCACAGAAACCUCAAGACGUGAAACAUGUCCAGUGGAUCCUAUGUCUACUGAUCUGGAGUCGAAGAUCCACUUUGUCCUCUGAAAACAGCCGUGCUGUUGUAUUGAUGUUUUUGCUCUAAGAGCUCCAGUUUGGCACGUUCACCUUGUUUCAGCUCACAGUUUCAUUAAUAUUGUUGAUCCAAUGUAGUAGUUGUGACCUUGAACAGAAUAAUGUGCUUUGGGCAGAAACGGAAGCCUUAAGAAAUUUAGAAUCUGAUGUUGUUCUUACUGAUUCACUAUUAUCUCAGGAUUUUCUUUUAGAAAAUAAGAUCUGUGGUUAACAUAUAUAUGAGUUUUGUUAUAAAACAAAUUACAUGCAGGCAAAUAUCAAAUGUGUUUGAAACUGUAAAACCUACAACAGUCUGAUUCAAUGACAAUGUAAACAAGUCUUUGUAGUAGUUGUAUUUAGCAACUGGUGACUUGAAAAAGGUUCUCUUCUAAGUUUUAAUGACUGUAAACUGAGCAGCUUUAUUUGGACCCAAGAAUUAUUUAUUUUGCAUGAAAAAUUAAUGUAACGUUUUUUGAUGAACUGAAAAAUACAAAAAUUAGGGUAAAUUUAGUUUACAACUUAAAGCUAAAAUAAAUCUUACUUUGUAGUUUAGGUCUAUUAAAUCUUAAAAAUCAUGUUUUUCAUUUUUUUAUUAUAUCGGCCUUGCCUACAUACCAGUCUGCUACGAUAAGCGCUUAUAAUGAAGAUGGACUUACCAAAGUUUCCAAGGUUCAUGGCUUUAAAUGUUGGUUAAACAGCCUGUUUCUUUUCUAAAUAGGUUUAGAAUGAGCAGUAGUGUUUGGCUACUUAAGAUUAUUUAAUGCUAGCAAAUGUCACUUCAGCUAGCCUAUAACUUGCACUUUGCAUUGUGCUUAUAACAAAACAUAUACAUUAUGUAAAUGCACUGACCCAAAAGUGCCCUUAAAACUUCCCUGCCUUCUCCACCCUCUUGUGAAAUCCCACUCGUGCUGUAAUUAUUGGAUAUGCAAAGCUGAGCAGAUAAGGCUCGGAGUCGUUGUUUAAUGCAAUUACAGAAGGCCUUUAAUAGAGGUAAUGGGAGGCUGAUUGGGGAGCUUUGUUAGACUGUGGGGUGUUGGUGUGAUGACCUGUGAUUAUCCAGGCUGUGUGUUGACUGGAAGGAGACCCCCUACCCAGCAGCAGCCAGGGAAGCCCACCACAUCAUUACAGUGAGUUGUUUUGUCAUGGAGGUAGAGCUAAACCCUCAUUAGAGCCAGUUGUUCUCACAACUGCCUUUCCUCCCUUUCUCUUUCUCUCUCUUUUGUUUUUGAACUGUGAGUACAGUCCUUAGCCACUCACCACCACACACAUCAACACACAUGCUCUUACUACACUAAUAAUCACCUGUAACAACAAAAGAUAGAUGGUAAGCACACAUACUUUUGGGAAGCCUAAACUAACCUGUCCAUUAUUGUAUGCGCACACAUUGAGACAGUUUUUUUUAUUAAUACAGGUUUUGAUUCGAUUUUUAGAGUGAAUGACUUAUAUUGUGUUAUAUUUUAUUUUGUGUCAGUUAGUUUUGUCUCAACCGUACGGAUGGCCCAGGACCUGUGUGAGAGUAUUUACGGCCAGUUCAUGGAGCUGUCACUUACCCAGUCUGGCGAAUGCUGCAUUGAUCCUAUAUGCAACCGCUGCUGCAGCCAAGAGGCCCAGCCAUGCAUGCAGAAUCCCACCUGCCAUUUGUAAAGGAGGGCGUGUGUGUUUAUGUGCAUGCAUGUAAAACUGGAUGCUGUGCAUGUGUGAACUGGAUCAAAAUGCCUUCCUGAUUCAGGGAUACUGAGGUGUGUGCGCCGCUCCUUGCAUCUCCAUCUGUCUUACGAAGACGACUGCUGUGUGAUGAUAUAUCGGCUGUUGGAUUCUGCACGUAUGUGUCUGUAUAUGCGCACGAAGAAGCGAACGAAUGGAUCUUGAUUACAUUUGCAAGGCAUGAGCUGAAGUGAAGGUCUGAAUGAGAUGCUCGGUGCUCAGCGUUAAUGGCAUAGGAGCCUGAUGAUUCUCUGAAUGCAAGAGAAGCAUUUUCUUUUAUGUCAGUUGAUGGACUGGAGUCAUGUAUACCAGCUGUUUGGGCUUGUUCUGACGGCACCCAUUCACUGCAGAGGAUCCAUUGGUGAGCAAGUGAUAUAAUGCUACAUUUCCUCAAAACUGUUCCAAUGAAGAAAUGCUCAUCUACAGCUUGGAUGGCCUUAUAUAGAUGUGUUUGAUUGGAGAUGAGGGGGAGGCGUGCUGACGUUGACCCAGAAGUGAAGUGAUGCGUGGAGGACAGACAGCAGUAACAGCAAGAGAGAACAGGUUGCUUAACAGUUGCUUUUCUACAGGCCAAAUUAAAGUCAUUUUGUGACUGACAUGACUAAUUCAGUACUCCGCAAGCUGGCUGUUGAUUGGUUCCCCUCAGGCCUGCCACAGACAGCAUCAGGAUACAGAACUGUUUCCCAUUCAUGGUACUCUCAGAUGAGACGGAGGAUUCAGGGCUGGAUUAGCAGUGUUGACAGAUGGUGGAAAACAGCAAGUGCUGAGGAGAGAUAUUCAAAUCUGAUCUUGGAGAAUGUGAGGAGGGUUUCUGGCCAGAGCAAAGCCUCUUGCAGAGAGAAAGAUAAAGAGCGGAAGGGGAAAAACUGAGGUUGGGAGAGCCACCUGAAUUGUAUUCCAGCUCGUUAUGGAGUGGGUUGAGCACUAUAUAAAAGAUCCAAAAACCUCCAAACACUGAGAGAGAGAGACUGAGGCUUGCUUCUGAGAUUUACUGUCAUCGUCAGGUUCCAGCACUUGUCACUUUCAGAGUGUUUUGUUGUAACUCGUGGGGUGGUGAAAACACUAAAGAAGGUAUGCUGUGUGCUAACUUCUUUAGAGUAUGGUAACUCUGUGUGAACAGUUGCCAUUAAUAGUUGGAGUGUUACAGUAACCCCUAGUUGUACGCAGUUGUGCUAUGUUGGCCUGUGUGGCCAGAUUUACCAUUAAGAAUAUGUUUGUCAACUUUGUUCUGUUGUUAUUGUGAUCAUUUGUAAGGGAAGAGGAUGCUCUCCCUGCACAUUUUUGUAAUGCUUUCCCCCAGCCCCUAGACUAGAAAGGGGGGGAACGUAACAAUAGUAAAGAAACUUACAGUUGACCUAUUAACAGGUUUUUACCAUAUCAUUUUUAGCCUCUUACUAUCAAAAUGAAUAUCAAAACUAUUACUAUGGUGAUUAUUUUAUUUUACAAAAAAAGAAUCAUAUUGGAGAGUAAAAGAGUGCAAACUUUAUGAAAUACUGGAGAUAGUGGACCGCCCGGUCUGAGACUGAAGAAUGAAACGAGUGAAGCAGACCUGUGCCGCCUGUCUCCUAAUAAACGGGCACCAGAUCCUGGGCUCCAGCCAGAGGGGAGCCCUGCCACCCAAACCGCCACCUCUCCCUGAUCCCCAGAGCCUAGCAGGGAGGCGAACUGCCACACGGCGUCUGACAGAAAGACCGAGAGAGCAAAGCCAGCGGGCCAUAUGUGUCUGGUUGUGAGAGGAACUCAAACCACAGACUGUCCAACACAGAAAUGCUGCAGCUGCCCAGCUCUUCCUUGUGGCAGAAUUAAUGGAGCGCUCGGUGUGGAGAGAGGUGAAAAAGUCACAACUAAGUAGUAAAAUGCCUUCUUGAUGGAUAUAUUGAUUUGUACAUGUAAGAGAUAUAUUUCUUUCAUCAAAUUUACAUUGUAGUCCCAGCUUGUAGUAUAUUAUUUAAUUACAGUAAAAGUUUAAUCAAGUUAUAUUUGGCUAUUCUGAAAUACUAAACCAUGCAAAAGAAGUGGUAGCUCUUCUUUGUUAAUUACAAAGGGUAGCAGUGAUUAAUGCACAUUUUAUGAAAUAUAUUUUAGGUGUGUUUUGUAUGUAAUCUGCUUCCCAACUCUAGGUAAAAAAAAAACAAUUAGGAAAGUUCAAGAUAAAAAGAUAUCUAAGAUAAGUUAUUUAAAAUUCUAAUGUGGCAACUGAAAUAUAAAAUCACAAUUACGACUGAUGAGAAAACUGCAUAUUAUGAGCAAUAAGGUUGCAUCUGUGGUGUAUAAAGUGAUAAAAUCAUUUUGAAAUAUAAAUUUGCAAUUAUAAAAAUAAAAAAUUUUUGUUUGCUUGAUAGCCAUUUUGUUUGAUAUAAUUAUAUUAUAAUUAUUGUUAUAAUUAAAAUUAUAAAUGCAAAUACAUUUACACAACAGUCUACGAUAGCAAGUGGCGUAUAUUAUUUUAUUAUUAUUAUUUUAAAUAUUUAGCUCAAACACACUUUUUCUCAGUAAAUGUAAUGCAAACUAAAUAUUUUGUAACUAUUUUUUGGUGUGAUCCAAGUGUCCAAAAUACAUCUUUAUUAUGUUAGUAAUUGGUUACACACUAGUCUUUAGAAAUCUGAUAUUGGUGAAUGUAUGAAGAUACUUGUUCAACAGCAGUGUACAGUCAUAUGUCCAUAUCAAGAGAGCUCUGUCUAGCUGUUGAAUGUAUUCAUGUUCCAUUACAUGGUAAAUGACAUAAAUCCUCAACUUCAGAGCAAAUGUAUGCCAGAUUGUGAAAUGCAUUGCAUAAUAACUAGUCACAUAUGGCAUCAUGCCAGAUGUUUACAGAAGACAGCAGUCAGAUGGCGGAUAUGUGUGUUACUCAUCUGCUGUGUCUUUCCACAGCAGAUACCUCAUAAGGUGAAGUCGUCGUGUAAUGAAGACAUAAGCCCCAUCAGUUAGAUUCAAUAUCAGAUGCAUCAAAACCCCUGCCUUUUUUAGGAGACUGUGGGUAGUAGAGGAAUUUUUAAAGAGGAGGCUGAUGAUUCAUGAUGCAGAUUCUCUUCCUUAACUGGGCUUUUGCCUCAUUAAAUCCUUAACGGUGUGAAGCGACUUGGAAUGACCUCAUGGCUUUAUCACACCCCUCGCCCCUUUUGCCCUUCAGCUCAGCAUUGAGCCCUGCCCACCCCAAGGACAUAGACCACCGUUAAGCCCUGCCCACCCCAAUGCCACAGGCCACAAACCGAGGUCAAUCAUCCAUGGGGUGAAUCAGAGCACCCACAUCCAUAUUCAUUUGUUAUAAUGAAUCCUACGCCACAUUUUAACAUUAUAAAUGCCACUGCAGUCAAAUUCCGUAUGAAGUUAUACCGUCUUGACAAAUGUUUUUUAUGUGAAUAUGGCUGUAGUUUUUGUUUCAGGGAUGAUAAAUGAAACAAAAGAAUAUUUGCUUACUUUUUAGUUAUGUUUUCUUCAUGUGGCUCUUCUUCAUCUUCGGCAUUUUUUUGGACUUUUUACAGACACCUGAUGGCCUGGAUGUGUGAAGUUUAACUGCUGCUGCCUUUUACCAAAAACUAUUUGUUUAUCUUUUUUUCAACUAUUUUGAGUUGGAAUUUGAAAUGAGGUGGUCACAUCUCGCAGUUAGUGUAACUAGAAUUAAAGGAAGUUAGCACAGGAAAUAGUUUUCUGGGAAAUGAAGUUCUUUAUCUAUUUAUAUGUUUAUCUGAUCAGGCCUAGAAUCUUUAUACUUCAAGAAUUGUUAAACAUCUUAAACUUUUAGACAAGACUUCCGAAAGGACGAGACUUUCAAUGUUUGUUUAGAUGAAUCUUCCUUUUCUAGUUAUGCUUUUGGUUAAAGAUACAUUCAUUAAAUUUUUUUUGUGUUUCUUCUUAAGUUUCUGUAUUUCAAACACCUGUUUGUAUAUCUGUCUGUAAGGUUUAUAAAACCUUUGCACUGCAAAAACUUUGUGAAUCCAUCACUCAAAGUUUGUCAAAGCUCUCUACUUAAAAAUGACUUGUUUUUUUGGAUUUCAGUUCAUUUAAUGCUACAUCUGAAUUGUAAUUCUGCAUCCUGUUUGCUACCUAGAUUCAAAAUCGAUUCUAAUGUAAAAACAACCUGCUACUUGAUGCUUGUUUUCUGUGUUCAGUGGUUGUAUUGUGUGUGUAAUAUGUAUAUUGAUUGUUAAUAUAUUGUUUAUUUUGAUUGUUGUCUUUAGAUGUAAUUUAUUUAAAUGUCUUAGCUGAAAGCACCAUAUAACACUAUUUAUUUUUGUUUUAUCAAUGCGCUGAGACAAUAGGAUUUUCAAGAUGAAUGAUAUGACUGGACUCUUCCUCUCAUCCAAGGAGAGGGUGUGCUUAAUGCAAUAAUCUACUGGAAGUUUCCGUGCCUCAUUCUGAAUCUCAACUUUUGUGUGAGUAAUCACGCUGGCAUUCACGCUCAUUGAGGCUAACUGAUCAAAUUCUUAUCAAAAAGGUGC